UUAUUGUAUUUUCACUAACAUCACUUGCCAUAUUAAUUUUUUUCCUUUUAUUAUAUUAGAAACGGGGGUGUCUCACUAUAUUGCCCAGGCUGGUCUCGAACGCCUGAGCUCAAGUGAUCCUCCUGCCUCGGCCUCCCAAAGUGCUGGCAUUGUAGGCAUGAGCCACCACACCUGGCUAUAAGUAGAUUGUUCUUCAGAGGUUAUUUUCAGCUGACUUUUGGUUUCCUAUCUAAUUUUGUAAUGGUGGGUAAUGAAGCCCCUCUGAACCAAGAAGUUUGUAUGCAGCUCAUUCUUGUCUUCUGUGAUUUUCUUUUCUCUCUCUCUCUGUCUUUCUUAAGUAUAAUUAGAGAGUUUAUUUGGGCCAAAUUUGAGGACUGCAACCCAGGAGACAUAUAGUCAAGUUACCCUGAAUAUAUGUUCCCCUCUUCCAUUUUCAUCUGUCCUGCCCAGCUCCUGUUAAGUACAUAAACUGCCAGUCCCAUGGCGUUAUUUAAGGGGAGGUACAUUUAAUACCUUGUCUUUUUAAAUCAACAUAGUGGCCAAUCAUAGCACAGGGCCUGGCAUAGGGUAUUAAGCCUCCUCUUGGCUGACACAUUUUUUUUCUAGAGACACAGCAAACACCAGUCAUGUGGACAGGGAGCAAGUAGACAUCAUUGGCUUUGAUGGCAGCAAUGGCCCAUCUGGAGAGGCCACUGUGAAAAUGCCAGCUGCAGUGGGGGAGGUGUGGUCAGGGCGGCAUGCUCCACAGAACAGGCGGGAGCCCCGGCCCCUACUGAGUCGGCAGGACAGAAGCCCCAUGCUCCCAGGCGCAGCUGCAGCCACUCAGCCUCAGCUCCAGACCCAGGCAUCCGUGCACUCUUGGGGGCCCAGGAAGCCCCUUACCCCUGCAGGCUUGAAAGUGUCUGCUCCUGCUGCCUGGCUUCCCACUGCUCCCAGUGCCCACUCUAUGGUAGAGCAAAGCUGUGGCCCAUCCUGGGCACUGUCAUGACCUGGCUGAGUGCCUGAUUUUGGGAUGCUGCUGACAUGCCAGCCCCCUGGAACCUUGCCCCCUCUGGACUUUGGGUGUCAACCAGCAUGGGAGGGAAGCCAAAGGGGUGCUGAGGGCAGCUCAGUGAGGGCCUGCAGGUGCCCCUCAACAUGAACAGCUUGGGUGCCGUGGAUGGCACAUUGAUGGCAGCAGGAGGCAGACAGGCUCCUGAGUGGGAAGAGGAGGGUCCCCAGUGAAGCCCCACAUUCAAGCCAGGGACAGCCUGAAGCCUAGGGGCUGGGCUGUCAGUUACAGAUGGAGUCCACAGCCUGGAGUGAGAACUUAUGGUACUUUUUCCAGGCCCACCUAUGGCUGCCCACGGUCAGCACACACUUCCUCCCUUCUAAGCCCAUAAAAACCCCAGACUCCCACAGACAUCAGGACUACCAGCUGCAGGAAGGAAGGGACGACCUACUUUGGGUCUCCUCAACUUGUCGGGACAACCUGCCUGUGGACAGGAGCUACCCACCCUGGGUCUCAUCUCCAUUGAGAGCUGGACACUCAUCAGGAUGCCCUGCCUUCAGAAAGGAGCUACCCACUCCGGAUCUCCUCUCUGCUGAGGGCUGCAUUCAUCAGAACUACCUCCCUGUGGAAACAAACUACCCACUCUGGGUCUCCUGAGAGCUGUUCUGUCACUCAUUAAAAUUCCUCUCCAUCUUUCUCACUCUCCAGUUGCCAACGUACCUCAUUCUUCCUGGACAUGGGACAAGAACUCACCACAUGGUGUGACUGAAAGAGCUGUAACACAAACAGGGCUGAAACAUGCCCCCCAACCCCCCACUCACCGUGUUGUGGGCAACAAGAAGGAGAGAAGACCUGUGGCCCUUCAGGAAGCCCAGACAUAGGGGGUCCCUGAGCCAGGGCUGUGACACCUUCUUUGGAGCUCUGUGGUUCCUGGUAUUGCCAAGCUUCCAGGCACCACCAUGCUCCCCUCGUCCAGACAUAGGUAACCACAGAGGAAGCCGCCUGCAGUACAUCUUAUCCAGAUGCAGCCUUGCACAGAGUUGGUGCCUGUGCCAGUGCCUGGAGCUGCCUGUCCCAUAGCAGCAGCCAGUUCACCUGGCUGUGCACAGUGGCUGGACCCCACACUCACUCCACUUUGCUACUGGCUCACCCUUGUCAGGUGUAAGAUCCCGGCCAGUAGCACGAGCUGAGUGCAGCCUGCCAGGCCAAGUGGGCAGAAUGAGCCAAGUGGGCCUGAGCAAAAACUCAGGCAAAGGCACCACCAGCCACAGAGGUUUCCAACUGCAAAAGCAACAACCUAAGGAUCCUGAGGCAGCUUGAGAGACAAUGGAGAGUAAGACAGCAAUAGACAGAGGCAGGGCUGUGGAGCGACGCAGGCCUCCAAAGAAGAGAGAAGUUUCCAUUCCUGAAGCCUUCUGGAAUCUGAAGUUUGCUGCCUGGACUGCCCGGUUUUAGUGGAAGAAAGCUUGCAUGGGUCUCUGUUUGUUGCUACCAAAGACUCUUGGCUAGAGCAACGUGGAUGAAGGAAGGUUGAACCAAAGACAUGACAGUGGUUCCGAGGGGCUGGGCAGCCUUUGUGGCCUCCCACCACCACCUCAAUUAAGCCAAGCGGUGGAUGAAGAGAAGCUUCUGGGCUGUCAAGUGCCUGCUUCUUAAAAUCACUUUGGAGAACCCAGGGAGUGCAGGAGGCAAAGCAGCGCCCCCUGCGUGAGUCAUCCCCAUUUGAGCAGCCUUCCCACCCCGACCUGAGACACAAGGCCACACUUAGCAUCGAGGGAGACCAAGUGAUGUACCCAGCUUCAAGCCAGGCUUUGUUACAGAGAAGAAAGGAAGGGUAGAUGUUGGCAUAGCAACCAGCAUUGUCUGCAACUCUCUCUGCUGCGUGUCUCCCCAUCAGAUGCCCCCUGGGAACAGGGUGCCUGAGUGCGACUCUUAGGCCUGUAUGAUAAAACUGGACUUCUAAUUCCCUCUUUCACGUAAAUCAGAGCCAGUCAUAUCAUUUCUGCCCACAACCCAACAGCCGUAGCGAGCCACAGGGCCCUACCUGACUGCAGAUGGCUGGACGCAUGGGGAGCAGAAGGAAGGUAAUGAACAACACCACCUCCACCAGCCUUUAACAGGAGUGACGUGGCUCUACGUGCGCUUACAGAAAAGGCCUUCAAGACCUGCCGUUAGCUGGAAAAAUAAGAAGAGCAAGCUACAAAACUCACAUAGAAUAUGAUCCCACUUGGGGGCUUCUCCCUUCACUGGAUCCUCAUUCUCUAUUGCCGCCCUGUGAAGAGGUACCUCCACCAUGAUUAUAAGUUUCCUGAGGCCUCCCAGCCGUGCUGAACUGUGAGUAAUUAAACCUCUUCCCUUUCUAAAUUUCCCAGUCUCAGGUAUGUCUUUGUUAGCAGCACGAGAACAGACUAAUACAAUAUCAUUAUUAUUUUGUAAAUAAUAUUACAUAUCAUAUAUAUUAUGUGAUUAUAGUUUUCUGCAUUUUGUCAUUUUUAUGCUAUUUAUUAUUUUCUAACUCUAAAUAAAUAUUGACUUUCAUCCCUGACUUUGCAUUCUUUGAAUAUACAGCACUUUGUUUUUGUUUUGUUUUGUUUUGGUUUGGUUUGGUUUUUGAGACCAGGUCUCACUCUGUCGCCCAGGCUGGAGUGCAGCAGCAUGACUGCAACCUCCACCUCCUGCGUUCAAGUGAUUCUCCUGCCUCAGCCUCCUGAGUAGCUAGGACUACAGUCACAUGCCACCACACCCAGCUACUUUUUAUAUUUUUUGGUAGAGAUGGGGUUUCACCAUGUAGGCCAGGCUGGUCUCGAACUCCUGAUCUCAAGUGAUCCACCCGCCUUGGCCUCCCAAAGUGCUGGGAUUACAGGAGUGAGCCACGGCACCCAGCCAAGUAUAUAGCACUUUGUAUAAUCACUUUAUAUAAUGUUCUUUCUUAAAGAGGACUCCUCAUCUACGUAUCAAGACAGAGAUCCACAAAACUGGAUCUGUUCUGGAGUACAAGAGCUUUUUUCCAAAGAA
rnacentral:lncRNA from 1 species